rnacentral:ncRNA from 1 species
UGGGCGGUAUCCAAUUCGGAACGGCACCAUCUGACGAACGUUGUUUAAAUUGGAUGAUUACAAAUGAGCUGCCUUGAUCCAAAAAGGACUAGGACAGAGGG